rnacentral:rRNA from 1 species
GAAGCCUACGGGGGGCAGCAGAGAGGAAUAUUGGUCAAUGGGCGGAAGCCUGAAACAGCCAAGUCGCGUGAGGGAAUAAGGCCCUACGGGUCGUAAACCUCUUUUGCCGGGGAGCAAGGGCGGGGACGUGUCCCGGCCCGGAGAGUACCCGGAGAAAAAGCAUCGGCUAACUCCGUGCCAGCAGCCGCGGUAAUACGGAGGAUGCGAGCGUUAUCCGGAUUUAUUGGGGUUAAAGGGGGAGUAGGCGGGCUU